ACGAUUUCUAUACACGGUAUCCCAUGCAGUGCACAAAAAAUAUUUCACCAAAUUUUAACUUUCAAAUUUCAAAACCAUUUCACUGUUACAUUUCAAAAGAAUCACACUUUUCUUGCUCUUUCUCACUACAAAAUCAGAAUUACAAGAUCAAUCUCAUCCAUCAAUUUCCAAGCUUAUCAAUGGUCAAGAAUUCCUGUAAGGAAAUUACACGAACUCCUCCUCAAAAUGGCUCCAAUUUUGCCUCAAAAAUUUCAUCAAGGCACACUAUAUAAAGAGUACUUCAGAACCAAAGAGAGGGGGGAAAAAAUUAGUAGAAGGAAAGGAGAAGUCAUGCUAUCAAAGUGA